UUCUAAUGAUUGUAUAAUAUUCUAUUUUGUAGAUAUACUAAAAAUUAUUUUACUAACUCUCAUGCAUGCAGGAUGUUUCCAAUUUUUAUUAUAAGGAGCAUUGAGAAAAGCAUCUUAGUAAAAGUAUCUUAGUACAUUUGCCCUAUUUGCAUUUUCACUUAUGCUUGAAGUAAAAUACAUAUACAGAAAAGUGCUCAAAUCAUUAAUAGACAACCUGACAAACCUCCACAAAUGACCACAUCCGUGUAACCACGUAACCAGCAUCCAGGUCAAGAAACAGAACAUCAUCAGAUGCAGCUCACCGUCCCAAAGUCCCUCCCAUCCUGCUCCGCGCCAGAAGCUCCUUAGAGAUGGAUGCAUACCCACAGAGCCGAAGGAGUGCGUUACCAAGGGGAGUCCACCUGCUGCUGACUGCAACAGCCAUUCCUCGCAUCUCAGAUACUUUGUUUUCAGCACAAGCAGCAAGCUCCUAGGAGACCACAUUAACAAUCAGCAGGUUGUUUGUCUUCUCAAGCUGGCCUUGACCCUGAGUCCGUGGGGGUGAAUAAAGCAAGUGCUCCCGAGGGGUCCUCCUCAGCACAGGGGAGUCCCCUCUGGAUUUUGGCAUCUUAGAAGACAUCAGUCAUCUGAGAAGGUUCCUGGUGGCCACGCAGGCAGCUGUUACUCCACCUACAAUUAAGAACCUGGCUGUUUGGGUAGCACUGGCCCAGCAGAAUCACUAAUAAAUAUUUCAUGAGUGAAGACAUGCAUGGAUUUCCCUUGUGCUGAACUUCUCUCCCAGAGAAACAGAGAUGGCUCUUAGUAAUGCAGGAAAACAGAUGUGGGUGUGAGGAGGGCUGUGUCCCAGGUCUCAGUUGAGCCCCUGGGAUGUGCCCUGCCAAGGUGGGUCCUUGGUUUCAUGCAGGAAAGAAUUCAAGUGUGAACCCCAGUUGA
rnacentral:lncRNA from 1 species